AUACGUAGGGGGCGAGCGUUGUCCGGAAUGAUUGGGCGUAAAGGGCGCGUAGGCGGCCCGGUAAGUCUGGAGUGAAAGUCCUGUUUUUAAGAUGGGAAUUGCUUUGGAUACUGUCGGGCUUGAGUGCAGGAGAGGUAAGUGGAAUUCCCAGUGUAGCGGUGAAAUGCGUAGAGAUUGGGAGGAACACCAGUGGCGAAGGCGACUUACUGGACUGUAACUGACGCUGAGGCGCGAAAGUGUGGGGAGCAAACAGGAUUAGAUACCCUGGUAGGCCACACUGUAAACGAUGAAUGCUAGGUGUAGGGGGUAUCGACCCCUUCUGUGCCGCAGUCAACGCAAUAAGCAUUCCGCCUGGGGAGUACGGCCGCAAGGUUGAAACUCAAAUGAAUUGACGGGG
rnacentral:rRNA from 1 species